UUUAUAAACGAUUAAAAAUUAUAUUUCAAUAUAGAAAUCGGGGUGCUAAGUUUUCGCGUCCUUGGUUUGUUCAGAAGGCCUCUCAGAAGACAAGAUGCGUUGUUACUCUCUACGUGACCGUCCAGGUCGUAAAGGACGUGAUUGGGACGGACGACGAAGAAUUGAGGUUUAUACGAGUCCUAUUUAGAAUAAACAACUCUAAAUUCCGUCAACAACUACAACUGGUACAGUAAUUGCAUUGUCACAAAUUACCAAUCCAUUUUGUCUGUUUCGCU